rnacentral:misc_RNA from 1 species
GGAUCACCAAGUGACACAAGAUCCACUGCAACUCCACUUGGAGGCAGCUGACCAUCUGGCAAGAGUUGUUUGUCACACUUGUUACCUAAAUGGUAACCAUUCUCCUCAGCAGCCCCAGAGUGAACAGUAUCAGCAUUCGAGACAUCAGUUAAUGCCUGAUUUUCUAGAAGCACACUUCCGUUUUUCACGUUAUUUUCACAAGAGAGAUUCACUGAAUUUGCUUUUAC